rnacentral:rRNA from 1 species
UACGGAGGGUGCAAGCGUUGUCCGGAAUCACUGGGCGUAAAGGGCGCGUAGGCGGCUCAUGAAGGCUGUGGUGAAAGUCCGGGGCUCAACCUCGGAUCGGCCGUGGCGACUCGUGGGCUGGAGCACUGUAGAGGCGGGUGGAAUUCCGGGUGUUGCGGUGGAAUGCGUAGAGAUCCGGAAGAACACCAGUGGCGAAGGCGGCCCGCUGGGCAGUGGCUGACGCUGAGGCGCGACAGCGUGGGGAGCAAACAGG